rnacentral:rRNA from 1 species
AGCUCCAAUAGCGUAUAUUAAAGUUGCUGCAGUUAAAAAGCUCGUAGUUGCAUUUCCGAGGCAAGGGAUUAGUCCGACCUUUGGUGGGUAUUUAAUCCUCUUGCCUCGUCCUUGAGUGGUGCUUCUUGGUAUUAAGUUAUCGAGGAGAUAGCCGCUCAUCGUUUACUGUGAGAAAAUUAGAGUGUUCAAAGCAGGCUUAUGCCGUUGAAUAUAUUAGCAUGGAAUAAUAAGAUAGGACCUCGGUACUAUUUGGUUGGUUUGAGAACCAAGGUAAUGAUGAAUAGGGACAGUUGGGAGUAUUCGUAUUCAGUUGUCAGAGGUGAAAUUCUUAGAUUUACGGAAGACGAACUACUGCGAAAGCAUUUACCAAGGAUGUUUUCA